rnacentral:rRNA from 1 species
AUGAACGCUGGCGGCGUGCCUAAUACAUGCCAGUCGCGCGAACAGACGAGGAGCUUGCUCCUUUGACGUUAGCGGCGGACGGGUGAGUAACACGUGGAUAACCUACCUAUAAGACUGGGAUAACUUCGGGAAACCGGAGCUAAUACCGGAUAACAUGUUGAACCGCAUGGUUCAACAGUGAAAGACGGUCUUGCUGUCACUUAUAGAUGGAUCCGCGCCGCAUUAGCUAGUUGGUAAGGUAACGGCUUACCAAGGCAACGAUGCGUAGCCGACCUGAGAGGGUGAUCGGCCACACUGGAACUGAGACACGGUCCAGACUCCUACGGGAGGCAGCAGUAGGGAAUCUUCCGCAAUGGGCGAAAGCCUGACGGAGCAACGCCGCGUGAGUGAAGAAGGUCUUCGGAUCGUAAAACUCUGUUAUUAGGGAAGAACAAAUGUGUAAGUAACUAUGCACGUCUUGACGGUACCUAAUCAGAAAGCCACGGCUAACUACGUG